rfam:Bacillus sp. FJAT-27986 scaffolf1, whole genome shotgun sequence.
GGGUCCUUUAAAUACAGUCCCGUGAGGCUGAAAAGGUACGUGAAAACUAAUGGAAGAUGUAUGUCUUUUUCUAUGGUUUAUUAUAUCCUUUUGCCUACACGGCAAAAGGAUUUUUUACGU